rnacentral:tRNA from 1 species
GGCCCCUUGGUCAAGCGGCUAAGACGUCAGCCUCUCACGCUGAAAACAGGAGUUCGAUUCUCCUAGGGGUCACCA